AUUCCUACAUGCUGGCCGCGGAGCCUCCCCUUAGGCACGUGCAUGUUCUUUGUUAGGUUCCGUGAGGACAUUUGAAUCAACAUCUGCAGACACCCGUCAACCUCAUGUCUGUGGUACGAUUCAUGUGUGGUGUCACAGCUGUGCAUACCUUCGCGUCACUCGUUCAGCGCUUAGCACACAGUACCCCAAGAAAAGCUCGUGAACACUGCCCUCCCGAGUUUUCACACCAUCACUGUAAUGGCCUCCUGCCCCACGUCAGCGCUUCUAGUGACGCAGCACAAGCUCAGUGUGAGAAUUUUCUGCACAGUGGUGCCCUCAGGACCACUCUGGGCAGCUGGGAGUACCUGUCACCCACAGUUGAAAGGUUUCAUUACCACCAUGAGACUGGGGAAGAACCUGUUGAGGUGUUCUGAAAGAUGGCCUCCUCCACUGCAGAGCAGUGCCCUGGAAGACCAGGUGACCAAAGCCACUGAAACCAGGGACACGGACACCGCCCUAGGCAAACAUGCUCCAUGAAGGGCCAGAGUCAACACGUUAGGCUUUGCAGGCCAACAGGAGAAACUGAAGCGUACUUGACCUCUCCUGGCCUGCGGGAAGAGCGAUGAAGAGUGAGAUUUUGCCCAGCUUGCAGGCUGUUGGCCUCACCCAGAUUCCCAGAUGUAACAGGACUGAGGCCCCCUGGGUGAGAGACGUGGCACAGUCAACUGUUCAAGAGCAGAAGCAGUAGCCAGACUGCUGGCGCUGGGGAUCUCUGAGGGAGCUGCGAGGUGCUCUGACCACAGGUCUCACGCCUGGGCAGGAAGUCGGGAACCUGGGAGGCAGAUGUUCACACCAAAACCAAACUCUGCAGCCUGGUGCCUCAGAGGCUCUGGUGGAGAGAGUACACAGUGAGCAGAACUGCUCUCAGCCCUCAUCUUCAUUCAGGUCCUCUCCCCCAGGGCCAUUCCUGCUAAGACCCAGCCAGAGCAAGGCCAGGCAGAGUCUACGGAAAAGCCAUCUGGGCUAAUGACUUCCAGCUGGAACAGCCUGAGGGCUUUGUGGGAAACACACAGAGCAGGGGAGAAAGGCCAACAGAUAACACACAGGCACACCUGGGCACUACUCAAGAGGCCUGGACACACGGCCAAAAAAAAAAACCCACUUGCUGUGAAACACAAGGGCCUGUCUAUCAAUAAACCUGGGGUUAACAGCAAGACCUGCAUAAGAAAACCAGCCAUGAGAUGGGAGGGGA